GAAUAAAGAGAGCUGAACCAACAUACCUGGGAAGAAAAGACCUAACACAGAGUGCCAUGGGCUGAAGAACCAGCCGAGGGGUUGCUGUGUAGCCAGACUAACCUGUUCUGGUGGAUGUCUGGUUUUGGGGAAUGGAAACACAUUUGCCAGCAGCAGCAUGAUUUGCUUUGGUUCUUCUAGAAUGUUAUGGGUAUGUGUGAAAAAUGCAGAUUAAAUUAUUGGCUCUUUGCAAAUAUUAAAUUGAAUACUUUAUGUGUUAUGUUGGAAAGUUA